rnacentral:rRNA from 1 species
GAUGAACGCUAGCUACAGGCUUAACACAUGCAAGUCGAGGGGCAGCACAGUGUAGCAAUACACGGGUGGCGACCGGCGCACGGGUGCGUAACACGUAUCCAAUCUGCCCGUUACUCGGGGAUAGCCUUCUGAAAGGAAGAUUAAUACCCGAUGGCAUGUAUUUCCGGCAUCGGAGAUUCAUUAAAGAUUUAUCGGUAACGGAUGAGGAUGCGUACGAUUAGCUAGUUGGCGGGGUAACGGCCCACCAAGGCGACGAUCGUUAGGGGUUCUGAGAGGAAGGUCCCCCACACUGGAACUGAGACACGGUCCAGACUCCUACGGGAGGCAGCAGUGAGGAAUAUUGGUCAAUGGUCGAGAGACUGAACCAGCCAAGUAGCGUGAAGGAUGACUGCCCUAUGGGUUGUAAACUUCUUUUGUUUGGGAAUAAAGUCAGGUACGUGUACCUGUUUGUAUGUACCAUUCGAAUAAGCAUCGGCUAAUUCCGUGCCAGCCGCCGCCGUAAGAC